rnacentral:rRNA from 1 species
UGUGGGGACCAUUCCACGGUCUCCGUGACGCAGCUAACGCAUUAAGUUCCCCGCCUGGGGAGUACGGCCGCAAGGCUAAAACUCAAAGGAAUUGACGGGGACCCGCACAAGCGGCGGAGCAUGCGGAUUAAUUCGAUGCAACGCGAAGAACCUUACCAAGGCUUGACAUAUACGAGAACGGGCUAGAAAUAGUCAACUCUUUGGACACUCGUAAACAGGUGGUGCAUGGUUGUCGUCAGCUCGUGUCGUGAGAUGUUGGGUUGAGUCCCGCAACGAGCGCAACCCUCGUUCUAUGUUGCCAGCACGUAAUGGUGGGAACUCAUGGGAUACUGCCGGGGUCAACUCGGAGGAAGGUGGGGAUGACGUCAAAUCAUCAUGCCCCUUAUGUCUUGGGCUUCACGCAUGCUACAAUGGCCGGUACAAAGGGCUGCAAUACCGUAAGGUGGAGCGAAUCCCAAAAAGCCGGUCCCAGUUCGGAUUGAGGUCUGCAACUCGACCUCAUGAAGUCGGAGUCGCUAGUAAUCGCAGAUCAGCAACGCUGCGGUGAAUACGUUCCCGGGCCUUGUACACACCGCC